rnacentral:rRNA from 1 species
GUAAGGUAUUGGCUUACCGUGGCAGUGACGGUUAACGGGGAAUUAGGGUUCAAUUCCGGAGAGGGAGCCUGAGAAACGGCUACCACAUCUAAGGAAGGCAGCAGGCGCGCAAAUUACCCAAUUCUAAUAGCAUAAGAGAGGUAGUGACAAGAAAUAACAAUACAAGGCAGUUAAAAUGCUUUGUAAUUGGAAUGAUAGAAAUUUAAAUACUUUUUAAAGUAUCAAUUGGAGGGCAAGUCUGGUGCCAGCAGCCGCGGUAAUUCCAGCUCCAAUAGCGUAUAUUAAAAUUGUUGCAGUUAAAAAGCUCGUAGUUGAAUUUUUGCUAAAAAUAACCGGUCUGCUUUUAUUAAUAAAGGUGGUAUCUUGGUGUGUUUCUAGCAAUAAUGUCCUUUGGAAUGUUUUUUACUUUACUGUAAGAAGCAAUUUUCAGGAUUUUUACUUUGAGAAAAUUAGAGUGUUUCAAGCAGGCUAACGUUUUGAAUACUGCAGCAUGGAAUAAUAAAAUAGGAUUUUAGUUCUACGUUAUUGGUUUUAGGAGCUAAAUUAAUGAUUGAUAGGAGCAGUUGGGGGCAUUUGUAUUUAACU